rnacentral:rRNA from 1 species
UACGUAGGGUGCAAGCGUUGUUCGGAAUCAUUGGGCGUAAAGCGCGUGUAGGCGGCUUGGCAAGUCAGUUGUGAAAGCCCGGGGCCCAACCCCGGAAUUGCAUCUGAAACUGCCUGGCUAGAGUCCCGGAGAGGAAGGCAGAAUUCCCGGUGUAGGGGUGAAAUCCGUAGAUAUCGGGAGGAAUACCAGCGGCGAAGGCGGCCUUCUGGACGGUGACUGACGCUGAGACGCGAAAGCGUGGGGAGCAAACAGG